rnacentral:rRNA from 1 species
AUUGAACGCUGGCGGCAGGCCUAACACAUGCAAGUCGAACGGUAACAGGAAGAAGCUUGCUUCUUUGCUGACGCGUGGCGGACGGGUGUGUAAUGUCUGGGAAACUGCCUGAUGGAGGGGGAUAACUACUGGAAACGGUAGCUAAUACCGCAUAACGUCUCAAGACCAAAGAUGGGGACCUUCGGGCCUCUUGCCAUCGGAUGUGCCCAGAUGGGAUUAGCUAGUAGGUGGGGUAACGGCUCACCUAGGCGACGAUCCCUAGCUGGUCUGAGAGGAUGACCAGCCCCACUGGAACUGAGACACGGUCCAGACUCCUAAGGGAGGCAGGAGUGGGGAAUAUUGCAGAAAGGGCGGAAGCCUGAUGCAGCCAUGCCGCGUGUAUGAAGAAGGCCUUCGGGUUGUAAAGUACCUUCAGCGGGGAGGAAGGGAGUAAAGAUAAUACCUUUGCUCAUUGACGUUACCCGAAGAAGAAGCCCCGGCUAACUACGUG